UACGGAAGGCAGCAGUGGGGAAUAUUGCACAAUGGGCGCAAGCCUGAUGCAGCCAUGCCGCGUGUAUGAAGAAGGCCUUCGGGUUGUAAAGUACUUUCAGCGGGGAGGAAGGGAGUAAAGUUAAUACCUUUGCUCAUUGACGUUACCCGCAGAAGAAGCACCGGCUAACUCCGUGCCAGCAGCCGCGGUAAUACGGAGGGUGCAAGCGUUAAUCGGAAUUACUGGGCGUAAAGCGCACGCAGGCGGUUUUGUUAAGUCAGAUGUGAAAUCCCCGGGCUCAACCUGGGAACUGCAUCUGAUACUGGCAAGCUUGAGUCUCGUAGAGGGGGUAGAAUUCCAGGUGUAGCGGUGAAAUGCGUAGAGAUCUGGAGGAUACCGGUGGCGAAGGCGGGCCCCUGGACGAAGCUGACGCUCAGGGUGCGAAAGCGUGGGGAGCGAAACAGGGAUUAGGAUAACC
rnacentral:rRNA from 1 species